UCGUAUUAUGUGUCGAAUGGUAGACUCAACUUGACGCUUAAAAACAAAAAAGCCCGAACCACGGCUCACAGAAGAACAAAAACAGCAGCAACAACCGAUCACAAAAAAACAACAACAACAUCAGGAUUCGUCUCAACCUGUUUUUGGAUGGGAAUUAAUCAACUGCUGUGCGUACAGUGUUGUCCCAAAAGUCCUGCCCAUUCACGAGUGAACAGAAAGAAUUCGGAUGGGUGGAACGGGAGUGGUCUGGCUGCCUGGCGAAAUCAAACGAGGUUGGGCAACGAAAUGUUUGCUAGUACUGUAGUCUGUCUAGAACUGUAGUCUGUCUCAGUUUGACCCCUGAGAAGGAAAAUGUCAGGGCAAAAGUGAAAAGGUUGAAGGUGACUUCGAAAAAAAUCGAAAAUAACACUGAAAAUUUUAUUGAAGGAGAAUCGACAUUAUCGCACAAGAGAUGGAAUAUUUAGAAAAAGGAGAAAUAGACGAAAAACAAGAGAAGGACGAAUUAAAAGAGAAGAAAGUAAUCGAGAAAGAGAACAUUAAAGGGAGUUUUGCACGCACAUUAGCAUUUCGCGACUCCUCGUUCCGAUUGCGAAGCGUUAUAUCUGCGACAUAAAGACGACCUCCUUUACUGUUUUGUGUGCGAGAAGAACCGAGAGGAUCAAAAAGUGUCGUUGAUGCACUGGUGAAAAAAGCAAAAGGCUGCUGGUCUGGCGAUGUUAUAUAACUCCAACGAGAACAACGAUACAUGCUCCAAACGGAAUAAUCGAAAUGAAACUGCAGGUGGCGUCAAGAAAAACAAAAAGAGCAAUAGUCAAAGUGGUCCUCAGAGCAAUAACAAGGGUCAGAAGAGAGGAGGUGUUGGGAAAUAGUUGGGAGGUGCUAGUUUUCUCGAAUUUAAGCAACACUUGUUUCGUCAGCUCUGUUGUGCACACACCGUGGGUCAGGCAGUUGGCAGAGAGCAUGAGUAUACGUCUGGAGGGUGAAGGAGACCCGCCUCUCCAGUUUGAAACACCCCGAAGAAUGAGUGAAGACCUGUCUCAACUUCACACUUCCUACUUCAGUCAACAGUCCUAGACGUCAGGACUCCCUCUGACUGUGUCGACGAAGUCCUUUUUCGAAAGUCUGUUUACAAGAAGGGACGCUGAUCACAAUUGCGAUCACAAAUGAUCAUCAGGCGAUAGAGUCUCACACCUACUUGUGGUGAUUACGGAAACCUGCAUAGUUUGAAACCAAUCUGGUUAUGACUACAACGAUAAUCUCGAUUUUAACCCUGCGUUUUCGCAAAAACUCAGCGAUGAUUUGACUAUGAAAGUGAGCGUUUUAACGUCUGCUCUAAAAACUGAUGAAACAACUGUUCUUAGUGCAAAUAGUUGCUGUAUAAUUAAAAUUUUCAAAUACGU